AGUCAGGUUGGGUUAGUGGUGUUUGAUCGAGAAUAUCAUUUAACUAAAAACGGAAUCACAACUUUUAUACCGUCUGGAACCGAAUUUGGAGAUCCAAGCAGAGACCAGAAUAUUGGAGAAACACAUCUACCGUAUUCAGUUUUUCUGGACUACACUCUCUCUCUUGCCGCUACCAAGUAUAAAUCUAUUUCCAGCACGGCACAGUCUAUUCUAUCUUCACAG